CGCGCGGUUCUCGCGAUAUUUCGGCGCGCGCGCCGCCUCCUCCCGGCUUCUCCUCAGCCGCCGCCAUUUUCCUCCCUUCGCCGUGACCCCUCAGUGUCCUCGUCCUUCCCUCCGCCCUCCGAGGUCCUGCUUCGGGUGAGGAGAGCAGGCCCUUGCAGUGAUCUGGCGAUGAAGAAGCUAAGGCUUAAGGAACUAGAAAGCAACCUGCAGCAAGUGGAUGGUUUUGAAAACCCUAAAUUACUUCUAGAACAGUAUCCGACCAGACCGCACAUUGCAGCCUGUAUGCUGUAUACAAUUCACAACACAUAUGAUGACAUUGAAGAUAAAGUGGUGGCCGAUCUAGGAUGUGGUUGUGGAGUACUUAGCAUCGGAUCAGCAAUGUUAGGAGCAGGGUUGUGUGUAGGGUUUGACAUAGAUGAAGAUGCCUUGGAAAUAUUUAGCAGGAAUGUUGAGGAGUUUGAACUAACAAAUAUCGACAUGAUUCAGAGCAAUGUGUGCUCCUUACCUGACAGAAUGUCCAAAUCAUUUGACACGGUAAUUAUGAAUCCACCCUUUGGGACCAAGCAUAAUAAAGGAAUGGAUAUGCUAUUUCUGAAGACUGCUUUACAACUGGCAAGAACAGCAGUGUAUUCUUUACACAAAUCUUCGACCAGAGAACAUAUUCAAAAGAAAGCAAAUGAGUGGAAAGUCAAAACGGAUAUUUUAGCAGCUGUGCACUUUAAUCCUGAAGCAUCAUCACCACAUGUAAACUGCCGUCAUCUAAAUACCACAACUAAAGACUCGACAGCAUAAGACAACAAAGCAAUCUAGAGGCUAUAAUUCAAGCCACUGAAAAACUAGAAAAUGAAAAUUAAGUCUCACAUCCUGCAAGGAUUAGCCCAGAACUACGGUAUGAUUUACCAGCAUCGUACAAGUUUCAUAAAAAGAAAUCGGUUGACAUCGAAGUGGAUUUAAUCCGGUUUUCUUUUUGAAAAACCUCCAAGAUCAGGAAUGGCUUAAAAAUCCAUUUAAAAUGAAUAAAAGUAUUCGACAUUACUUGUCUUCAGCUCCGUUUUCUGUUUUCAGUUGUUUUGAUGCAGGUUCCUCCUUUUCUGUCUCCUCCCGUGCCCUUUUCUGUGGUGCUAUUGAGAUUUAAAUACUAUUAGUUAAAAUGUUUCACUUAAGUGUAAUAACAUUUAUAAAGACAAUCCACAAGGCAGAAUAGGAGAAAUCUUAACAAAUGUAACAGAAAAAUCUUCCAUUUUAGCCACCCUCUCAAUUUCAACACUACACACCUCUCUUUGGGAAAACAAGUUUAACUUUACCCAACAUUAAUAAUUUGUAAACAUUAAAGAUUAAUGGGAGUCAAAUAUAUUUUGGCACUAAAAUCAAAAUUCUAUUUGCGACUCCUGAAAAUGUUUCUACUUGAAAAUAAAAAUGCUUACCUGUUUCAUCACCA